GAAUGAGAUGAUGAGUAUGAACUUGUUUCCCUAUUGGUUUGAUUGCCGAUAUGAUGGCUUGUAACAAGUAUUAGCUCUAGCUGAUCAUUA